rnacentral:rRNA from 1 species
GAAUUUUGGACAAUGGGCGCAAGCCUGAUCCAGCCAUGCCGCGUGAGUGAAGAAGGCCUUCGGGUUGUAAAGCUCUUUCGGUGAAGACGAAACGGUUAGCGCUAAUAACGCUGACUAAUGACGGUACUCACAGAAGAAGCAACGGAUAACACAGUGCCAGCAACCGCGGUAAUACGUAGGGUGCAGGCGUUAAUCGGAAUUACUGGGCGUAAAGCGUGCGCAGGCGGUUUGCUAAGACAGGUGUGAAAUCCCCGAGCUUAACUUGGGAAUUGCGCUUGUAACUGGCAAGCUAGAGUGUAGCAGAGGGGGGUGGAAUUCCACGUGUAGCAGUGAAAUGCGUAGAUAUGUGGAGGAACACCGAUGGCGAAGGCAGCCCCCUGGGUUAACACUGACGCUCAUGCACGAAAGCGUGGGGAGCAAACAGG